CGACGAUUUAGUCCUGCUAUGCAAAUAUUUUCGUGUUCAUUGACUGUGAAAACAAUCAAUUUCUAAAGAAAUUAAUAAUGAUAAUAAUUUUGAAUUUGCAUAGCGGGACUAAAUUGUCGGGCCAGCUACGCCACUGGUUGUACCGCAUACGGCACGCAUGGAGAAGUCUUGGCGUAAACGAAUGGCGUUCAUAAAAUAACCAACAGCCGAGUUCACUGGUGGAAACAGAUAGCUAUACUUCGAAAUAAUUCUUGCUCGUUGUCGUUGAGCUUCAGCAAUGUCAAUGCAAGGAAUUUUAUAGUCCAUAAGAACGCGGGUUUUAAUCCUGUACUUUCACAAGUCAAAAAUACAGUAGCAUCGUUCACAAACAGUUGGCGAUGUUUCGGAAACCAAAAGAUCACGUAAUAAAAAGAUCCGUUUGAAUAUCGGACAGGAUACACUUCAAUUUAACAACCAGAUUGUUCGUUUGAUCGGUCGGUCGGUGUGGAAGAUAUCAAAGUAGCUUCUACGAUGAAGCGUGGCCGCGUGCUCAACUUCGCAAUCUUUCCU